GACCUUCGACAACAGCUGGACCUUCGACAGCAGCUGCAGCAGAGCAGGAGACAGAUGGUAGAAUAUUGAUAGCACCUGAGGGUGACACGUUCUACCCAUCAAAACAACCGACACAUAAAAUACGGGACAUCAUACGGAGCAGGUUUGACGCUCCUUAUGUUUCUUGGAAGAAAGUCCCGAAAGAAGUCCGGGAGAUGUGGUUUAGAGAGUUUGAG